rnacentral:rRNA from 1 species
UAAGGAAUAUUGGUCAUGGACGAAAGUCUGAACCAGCCAUGCCGCGUGGAAGGAUGAAGGUCCUCUGGAUUGUAAACUUCUUUUAUAUGGGACGAAAAAAGGGUUUUCUAACUCGUCUGACGGUACCAUAUGAAUAAGCACCGGCUAACUCCGUGC